rnacentral:rRNA from 1 species
GGGGCACGGGGGGACUCCUACGGGAGGCAGCAGUAAGGAAUAUUGGUCAAUGGAGGCAACUCUGAACCAGCCAUGCCGCGUGGAGGAUGAAGGUCCUCUGGAUUGUAAACUUCUUUUAUUUGGGAAGAAAUGUGAGAAUUCUUUUUCACUUGACGGUACCAGAUGAAUAAGCACCGGCUAACUCCGUGCCAGCAGCCGCGGUAAUACGGAGGGUGCAAGCGUUAUCCGGAUUUACUGGGUUUAAAGGGUGCGCAGGCGGAUAUGUAAGUCAGUGGUGAAAUCUUUGGGCUUAACCCGAAAAUUGCCGUUGAUACUAUAUAUCUUGAAUGCUGUGGAGGUAAGCGGAAUAUGUCAUGUAGCGGUGAAAUGCUUAGAGAUGACAUAGAACACCAAUUGCGAAGGCAGCUUACUACACAGAGAUUGACGCUCAUGCACGAAGGCGUGGGGAUCAAACAGGAUUAGAUACCCUGGUAGUCCACGCCCUAAACGAUGAUUACUCGACAUACGCGAUACACUGUGUGUGUCUGAGCGAAAGCAUUAAGUAAUCCACCUGGGAAGUACGAUCGCAAGAUUGAAACUCAAAGGAAUUGACGG